rnacentral:tRNA from 1 species
GCCUGCGUAGUAUAAUGGUUCGUACGACUGUUUGUGGAACAGUAGGAUCUGGUUCAAUUCCAGGCGCGGGUACCA